CGUCCCUACGGGGGCAGCAGUGAGGAAUAUUGGUCAAUGGGCGCAAGCCUGAACCAGCCAAGUCGCGUGAGGGAUGACGGUCCUAUGGAUUGUAAACCUCUUUUGUCGGGGAGCAAGGCCCGCCACGUGUGGCGGGAAGGAGAGUACCCGAAGAAAAAGCAUCGGCUAACUCCGUGCCAGCAGCCGCGGUAAUACGGAGGAUGCGAGCGUUAUCCGGGUUUAUUGGGUUUAAAGGGUGCGUAGGCGGGAGGUUAAGUCAGCGGUCCAAUGUCGGUGGUCAACACCGGCCUGCCGUUGAAACUGGG
rnacentral:rRNA from 1 species